ACUGAAUAGAUACCCGGGUAGUCCCAGCCGUAAACGAUGCUCGCUAGGUGUCAGGCAUGGCGCGACCGUGUCUGGUGCCGCAGGGAAGCCGUGAAGCGAGCCACCUGGGAAGUACGGCCGCAAGGCUGAAACUUAAAGGAAUUGGCGGGGGAGCACAACAACGGGUGGAGCCUGCGGUUUAAUUGGACUCAACGCCGGACAACUCACCGGGGGCGACAGCAAUAUGUAGGCCAAGCUGAAGACUUUGCCUGAAUCGCUGAGAGGAGGUGCAUGGCCGUCGCCAGUUCGUACUGUGAAGCAUCCUGUUAAGUCAGGCAACGAGCGAGACCCGUGCCCACUGUUACCAGCAUGUCCUCCGGGACGAUGGGUACUCUGUGGGGACCGCCGAUGUUAAAUCGGAGGAAGGUGCGGGCCACGGUAGGUCAGUAUGCCCCGAAUCUCCCGAGCUACACGCGGGCUACAAUGGAUGGGACAAUGGGUCCCUCCCCUGAAAAGGGCUGGUAAUCUCACAAACCCAUUCGUAGUUCGGAUCGAGGGCU
rnacentral:rRNA from 1 species